UACGUAGGGUGCGAGCGUUAAUCGGAAUUACUGGGCGUAAAGCGUGCGCAGGCGGUCUUGCAAGACAGAUGUGAAAUCCCCGGGCUUAACCUGGGAACUGCAUUUGUGACUGCAAGGCUGGAGUGCGGCAGAGGGGGAUGGAAUUCCGCGUGUAGCAGUGAAAUGCGUAGAUAUGCGGAGGAACACCGAUGGCGAAGGCAAUCCCCUGGGCCUGCACUGACGCUCAUGCACGAAAGCGUGGGGAGCAAACAGG
rnacentral:rRNA from 1 species